rnacentral:SRP_RNA from 1 species
CGAGUGCGAGGGUUGCCGGAUAUUCGUCGGGCCGACCGAGAGCAGCAUCUUCUUGCGCAACUGCAAGUCGUGCGACGUGAUGGUCGCUUGCCAGCAGUUCCGCUCUCGGGAUUGCCAGGAUUGCCGGGUCGCACUGUUCUGCACGACCGAGCCGAUCAUCGAGACCAGCACG